AAGACUUUACUUAUAGGACAUUCUGUAGUUCGUCUCAUUUACUUCAAUGAAAUAAUGCCAACCUUUAUCAACGAUGAUGAGGUGAAUCGUUUCACCUAUAGCGUGAAAAGUACAUGGUCCCUCUUUGAGUUAGUUCAGUUCCAAGAAGCGUGUUUUCGAUGAUCGCUGCCUUUGAAGGUGAAACGAAUCUGAGUGA
rnacentral:snoRNA from 12 species